UCCCUCAUCAGCGAACAGUGGGUGGUGUCAGCAGGUCACUGCUACAAGUCCCGACUACCCAGACGAGCUGCAGUGCCUGGAUGCUCCUGUGCUGAGCCAGGCUGAGUGUGAAGCCUCCUACCCUGGAAAGAUUACCAACAACAUGUUCUGUGUGGGCUUCCUCGAGGGAGGGUGAUUCUGGUGGCCCUGUGGUCUCCAAUGGAGAGCUCCAAGGAAUUGUCUCCUGGGGCUAUGGCUGUGCCCAGAAGAACAGGCCUGGAGUCUACACCAAGGUCUACAACUAUGUGGACUGGAUUAAGGACACCAUAGCUGCCAACAGCUAAAGCCCCUGGUCCCUCUGCAGUCUCUAUACCAAUAAAGUGACCCUGCUCU
rnacentral:misc_RNA from 1 species